UACGUAGGGUGCAAGCGUUGUCCGGAAUUAUUGGGCGUAAAGAGCUCGUAGGCGGUCUGUCGCGUCGGAUGUGGAAAUCCAGGGCUUAACCCUGGACCUGCAUUCGAUACGGGCAGACUAGAGUUCGGUAGGGGAGACUGGAAUUCCUGGUGUAGCGGUGAAAUGCGCAGAUAUCAGGAGGAACACCGGUGGCGAAGGCGGGUCUCUGGGCAUCUCCUGACGCUGAGGCGCGAAAGCGUGGGGAGCAAACGGG
rnacentral:rRNA from 1 species